rnacentral:misc_RNA from 1 species
ACUAAUAUAUCACUUAUCAAUUGAACUUUAUAUAUAGUAUUUAUAUGAUUUUGACUCAUUGAUAAAAAAAAAUCACUUAUUAACUAGUAAAUUUUAUUAUAACAUAAUAUCUCAAAUUGAAUAUAUUAAUAAAUGGAUUAGUGCGAAAAAUAUAAACAAUUUUUAUAAAAAUUAUAAAAGACAAAGAAAAAAAAAUCCCAAAACACUCUUACCAUAAACGGUGUUUUCUGAUUCAGUUCUAGUGUAUGUAUAAUUAGCCACAGGAGAGUGUUGAUGCAAAUAAUAAUAAUGAAAGAUAGUUUUGAUGGGAAUAUAUCGGUUAGUGACACAGCGUGUACUGCUUGAUGGAUUGCUCUUCUACGUUGACUCUACGCUAUACCCUAAUGUAUACUUGCAACAUAUGAAAAUUUGUGUUGGUCAUGAGUAGGUGUUUGAUAUCAUGUCGAAUUCAAAGCAAAAUGGGUGCAAUUGAAAACAUUGGGAAGAGGUGUUGGUGAUUUAUUUUUUUUAUGUUGCGGCACAAAAUUAAGGCUAGGUUCUUGACUUGUCUGUCUCCUUUUCCUCAAAAUUGGAAUGAAAAUAGGGUAGGAAAUAAGUCGUUAUUGUUUAAUUAACCUCCAUAUUCAAGCUCCAAACUUUUUCACUUGAUGGUUUUCUGUAGGGACAUGACACGCCUAAAAAUAGAAUCCCCACUUGGCAAAACAUUUACAAGUUGCAGCAAUAAGUUGUAUAGUUGUGCUGGCCUCUCAUAAUAGUGGUGCGUUGUAAUAUCACUGUUCCAACCAAGGAUUGCUGGUAGACUGCCUCUGCUCAAGAAGAUAUUACAGGUGAUGGAAUUUCCUGUGCUUUUAGGUUGAAGUUUUGGGCAGAUCUCUUAUGGAAGACCCUGCAAGUUUUGUAGUGCAAGAAGAGCAACAUCCCAGAGCAGCUUUUGCGAAUGUCUAAUACAACAAUAAGACAGCUAAAUUGUAAUUAUAUAUCACUCAUAGAAAUGAAAUUUUCUGUGUUCUGGCUGCUCUCUUCUGCGUCUAUUUAUUUUCUUUUUUAACAUUUUUUUUGUCAUUCAAACCUGUGAAAGUUGAAGGAUAGAUCUAAUGAAUAUAAAUAUGAAUAGGUUGGGUCCACUAGUUCAGGCAGGAGGAUGCUGAUAGAUGGUUCUAUGGUUCUCUUGUCAACUCGUAGUUCUGAAAGGGACAAUAGAUUAUCUUCAGAUUCUUAUCAUAAUCCUGGUCCAUUGGUUAUGUUCUCUCUGAAAUGGACGCAUUCUCAAUGUUUAUCCAAGAGCUUAGCCAUACAGGAAUAUAAGAAAGAUCAUGUGAUUGUGGACCAAUACUCUAGCAAACAGUACUUGCUAUUCAAAUCAUAACUUCCGUAAAGGGCUGGUUCGAAUUGUGAACGGGACCAGGACCACCCUGGUUCAAUGGUUUUGGUUCAUAAAUCAACCUGGAAUCAGGUUAAACUGCCGGUUUGAAUCGGCAAUUCUGAGCUGAGACCGAACCAGUGAUUCCAAGCCAAAAC